CAGAGAAGUCUCUUGGUGAGGCAGCUCCCCCAUUCCUCCUUUGCGGUUAGGAUUUUUCUUCGGUUAACCUACACGAAAAAGAAGAGAGGAAUACGAUGGCCAAAAAAUUGAGAAAAAGGGGAAACGAGAAAAGAAUCAUCAGAGAAGUUUUCGGAUUGCGGCCACGGCGGCUUGACCAAGCUCCACUCGCAUUUCUGGCUCACCCUUGGUCCUUUUUACUCCGAUAUGGGUGUGGGGAGGUUCAAAAUUCAAUUCCAAGCAAAAGAAAAAAAUUCUACCUCUUUCGACGUUGGUGGGGGUUCCAGUGUGACAGCGAUGAUGUCCCUUCAGCAGGUGAGCUUUCCUCCGACCUCUCUUCUUCUUUUUCUUCUUCGAUCAAAGGUGUCAGCUAAGGUUUUGGGAGCUAAUUGAAGAGGGGUUUAAAUACCUCUCUUCUCCUGAUCCUAACCGUCCAUUCACGUCGUCGUAGAGCAAAAAGGGUCAUCCAAUUCGAAGUCCAUUUAGACCGAUCCCUGUGUAAAUCUGGGUCAUCCAUCGCGAUUAAAUACAGUCGUCCGAUCGCAUUUGAAGAAAAAAUAAAUAUGGACCGUCCAUGCGCGCGACAUGCGAUUUGG
rnacentral:lncRNA from 1 species